GAGACCAAGGCUGGGACACUUAAGACUUUUAUAAAGUCCUUCUCCCUCAGCUGGAGGGAGCAUGGCAUUGAGCCAAGGAGACGGGACCCUCUGCUUUGUCCUCCUGCUGUGCUGCUGGCAAGAAGUGAAGACCUGGCCAAUAAGAAUGAAUUCAGGUAGAGUCCCAAGUAGAUGGUUGGGCAAACAGAAAACCAUGGGUCUGAAUCAGGCAGGUGACAGUCUCUUCUCCCAUGAGUCCUUCUCUGCUGUGGUUUGAAUGUGUCCCCUCAAAAAUUCAGGUAUUUAAACUGAUAGUGAUAACAUUAAAAGGUGGGACCUUUAAGAGGUGAUUGGUCAAAAGGGUGCUCCCUCAUGAAUGGGAUUAAGGCCCUUAUGGAAGAGGCUUUGUGCAGCAUUUGUCUCUCUUGACUUUCACCAUGUGAGGACACAGGGUUCCUCCUCUCCAGAGGACUCAGCAACAAGGCGCCAUCGUGGAUGCUUACAGCAGCCUUUGCAAGACACCAAACAAGCCAGUGGCUUGAUCUUGGACUUCCCAGCCUCCAGAAACAUACAAAGUCCCUAUACAACCAUGAACUCUGAGAACUGCAUCACACAUGGCUUGGGGCCCCCAAUGGAUCCCCUGAUGUAGUUGGGGCUCAAGUUCUGGACUGCUGUCAAGUUAGUCAAGUUUUAAAAAUAUGGAUGACGAUAUGACCACAGUAUUUGGGCUCUGCAGGUGAUGCUAAAGUACAGCCGGCUGAGAACCGCUGCCCUGGGCCAGGGCCGUCCAAUAGAAACACAGCAUGAGCUGAAGAUGUGCUUUUCAUUGUCUAGUGGCCACAUUAAAAAGAUGCAGAUGAAA